AAUCGGCCACCAGGUCGAGUUGUAAUUUGUAGAUUGUAUCUUGAGAGCGGAUUAAAGUCUGUUGGAACACAGCGCCUUAGAGGGUGACAGCCCCGUAAAAUCUAUUCUCAUUGUAAGAUACUUUCGAAGAGUCGAGUUGUUUGGGAAUGCAGCUCUAAGUGGGAGGUAAAUUCCUUCUAAAGCUAAAUAUUGACGAGAGACCGAUAGCGAACAAGUACUGUGAAGGAAAGAUGAAAAGCACUUUGAAAAGAGAGUGAAAAAGUACGUGAAAUUGUUAAAAGGGAAGGGUAUUGAAUCAGACUUGGUGCUGUUGUUCAACUGUGUUUUGGCACAGUGUACUCAGCAGUACUAGGCCAAGGUGGGGUGUUUGGGAGUGAAAAAGAAGUUGGAACGUAACUCUUCGGAGUGUUAUAGCCUACUUUCAUAGCUCCUCAGGCGCCUCAGGACUGCGCUUCGGCAAGGACCUUGGCAUAAUGAUUCUAUACCGCCCGUCUU
rnacentral:rRNA from 1 species